rnacentral:lncRNA from 1 species
UACCUUGACUCCAACUCAGUGACUACAAAGAACUGCAAACAGGUGUGAAAACAAGCAAUAGGUCAUCUCUGGCAUUACCUGGGAAUUCAAGUUCAGCCCUGCAUUCUCCCUCUGGGCAAUUCUGGUAGAGACCAUGAGGCAACCCCUGGGAGGAGCAGUAGCCAUAACAGGAUCCCUCCACAGCAACCCCAGGGCUAAGACCAGUGGGUGCAAAACACCUUCUUUACCAGGUGACGCCAUCGCCUCAACUCCUGCAGUGGUCAAUAUGGUCAAUAUUAAGUUCACAAACAUGGGAACUUCCUGACAUCAUCACAGAAGGAAUGAAAAUGCAGUUGGGGUGGCUGGUACAUUUUAGAAUAAGGCUGGUUCUCCUGGGAGGAAAGAGGUUAUUAUUCUAUGUCUUCCAAUGGAAUAAAAAUUCUUGCUAAAG